rnacentral:tRNA from 1 species
CCAAUGGUGGUUCAGUGGUAGAAUUCUUGCCUUCCCUGCAGGAGACCUGGGGUUGAUUCCCAGCCAACGCA